AUUUCUGGUGUUCGAGGCAUAAAGGAACCACACCAAUCCAUAUCGAACUUGGUGGUUAAAUUAUACAGCGGUGAUGAUACUGUAGGGGGAGCCCUGUGGAAAAAUAGCUAAAUGCCAGAAU
rnacentral:rRNA from 1 species